rnacentral:rRNA from 1 species
AACGAACGCUGGCGGCAGGCUUAACACAUGCAAGUCGGACGCAUCCUUCGGGGUGAGUGGCAGACGGGUGAGUAACGCGUGGGAACGUGCCCUUCAGUUCGGGAUAACCCAGGGAAACUUGGGCUAAUACCGGAUACGUGCGAGAGCAGAAAGAUUUAUCGCUGAAGGAUGGGCCCGCGUCUGAUGAGCUAGGUGGUGGGGUAAUGGCCCACCAAGGGGACGAUCAGUAGCUGGUCUGAGAGGAAGAUCAGCCACAUUGGGGCUGCGACACGGCCCAAACUCCUACGGGAGGCAGGCGUGGGGGAUAUUGGACAAUGGGGGCAAGGCUGAUCCAGCCAUGCCGCGUGAGUGAUGAAGGCCUUAGGGUUGUAAAGCUCUUUCGUCCGGGACGAUAAUGACGGUACCGGAAGAAGAAGCCCCGGCUAACUUCGUGCCAGCCGCCGCUGUAA